CCUCCGGGCAGAGCGCGUGUGGCGGCCGAGCACAUGGGCCCGCGGGCCGGGCGGGCUCGGGGCGGCCGGGACGAGGAGGGGCGACGACGAGCUGCGAGCAAAGAUGUGCCCCGGGACCCCCGGCACCUUCCAGUGGAUUUCCUUGCGGAAAGGAUGUUGGCGGUCCCUGUGACCUGUGGAGACACGGCCAGAUCUGCCCUCCAGGCCUGAUCUUUUGGCCAGAAGGAGAUUAAAAAGAUGCCCCUCAAGAUGGCUGUGCCUGUCAGCUGCAUGGAGCUUCGUUCAAGUAUUUUCUGAGCCUGAUGGAUUUACAGUGAUCUUCAGUGGUCUGGGGAAUAACGCUGGUGGAACCAUGCACUGGAAUGACACACGCCCGGCACAUUUCAGGAUACUAAAAGUGGUUUUAAGGGAGGCUGUGGCUGAAUGCCUCAUGGAUUCUUACAGCUUGGAUGUCCAUGGGGGACGAAGGACUGCAGCUGGCUGAGAGGGUUGAGAUCUCUGUUUACUUAGAUCUCUGCCAACUUCCUUUGGGUCUCCCUAUGGAAUGUAAGACCCCGACUCUUCCUGGUGAAGCAUCUGAUGCACGUUCCAUCCGGCGCUCAGCUGGGCUUGAGGCUGACCAUACUCCCUGGAGCCUUCUCCCGAGGUGCGCGGGUGACCUUGGCACAUACAGCCAUCAUGAUGGUACUUUAAGUGGAGGCUGAAUCAUCUCCCCUUUGAGCUGCUUGGCACGUGGCUCCCUUGGUGUUCCCCUUUUACUGCCAGGACACUGAGAUUUGGAGAGGAGUCUCACUCUGUGGUCCAGGCUGAAGUACAGUGGCAUGAUCCCAGGUCACUGCAACCCCCACCUCCCGGGUUCAAGUGAUCCUCCUGCCUCAGCCUCCCGAGUAGCUGGUAUUACAGGCGUGUGCCACAAAGCCUGGCUAAGUUUUGUAUUUUUAGUAGAGACGGGGUUUCACCAUGUUGGCCAGGUUGGUCUCGAACUCCUGACCUCAAGUGAUCCACUCACUUUGGCCUUUCAACGUGCUGGGAUUACAGGCGAGAGUCACCGCACCCGGACGACUCUGACAUUUUUGAAGAGUCCAGGAAUCCUGUUACACCUGGGAUUUAGGCACUUUCAAUCUGAAAAAAUACAUAUCCUUUCAGCACUCUGGACGGACUUGAGAACUGUCCUUACGUGACCUAAAGCUGGAGUAUUUUGAGAUUGGAGAAUUAAGGAGCCAGUCUUGGUGCUCUGUGUUCACCUGGUUCAUCUGAGGAGCUGCAUCUACCCUGCCCAUGCCAUAGAUCCUGCCCUGUUUGCUUCUCCUGUUGCUGCUAGUGGACAUGAGGAAGGACAGAAUAACGGGCUCCCAGAUUCACAAGCCCCACCAAGAGGAUCACCCCAGGAACGCUUGGAGGCUGAGGAGUUCACUGAGGCUACUGCAUCUUGAGACUCAGGAUGAAGACCCAGCUUGGGGCUGUCAAAGGAGGCCUGAAGAGGCAGAACACCCCAGAGGAGCCUGGGGCCACCACCCAGCAUCACUGUGGGAAAACGGCAGCAGGAAAUGUCCUCUCGCCUGCGUGCUCCACCUCGGUCCACGCCUUCCCUCCUUCUGGAAGCCUUGCCUGACCACUGGCCUGCCCCUUCUAUGGGAAUCACUACUGACCUUGCAGCUUAUUAUAGACUUAUAUGGUUUUUUGCAUGUCUGACACCCAUGACUCCACCUGGACCUUAUGGCUCCACCCAGAAGCAAUUCAGCCCAACAGGAGGACAGCUUCAACCCAUUACGAUUUCAUCUCUGCCCCAACCACUCAGCAGCAAGCACCUGUUACCUGUCCACCCCCACCCCUUCCCCCAAACUGCCUUUGAAAAAUCCCUAACCUAUGAGCUUUGAAUAAGAUGAGUACGAACUUCAUCGCCCACGUGGCGUGGCCGGCCUCGUGUCUAUUAAAUUCUUUUUCUACUA
rnacentral:lncRNA from 1 species